CAAACAGGGCCAAAACCUCCUUCUCCAAUCAUGCUUUCCUCGGAGAAGUUGUCUGUUGCAGCAGCUAUUGUCGCGAAACUGAAUAGAGAGGGGGAAAUAGAAGUUAUGAAUCGGGAUAUGUAGAGGCUAAGGCGAAUUCUUGAAUUGCUGGGAAAAAAUGGAGUUACCUAGUUCAGAAACCGGCAGGCGAAUGUAGAUAUUCUGUUAUAAGGAUCGAUAUACGUUGUUCUGCCCUUGUCUGUGACAAUCUUGCCCUUGAAAACGGUGUUGUAGAAGGUCGGGACGUUGAUGUAAACCCCGUUCCACAUGCCGCUCCGGUGAAAUCUCCCGGUGAAGGAUCGUCGGAGCUCGUCCACGAAGUCAAAUACUUAUCCUCCCCCGCUGGGCUGUGCACCAUGAACAUCCCCGGCAAUCUUGUGUCCCUCGGGUAAUCAAAACUCUGCCAUAUGUAGUUUUCCUCCGUUAUGUCUACUGCAAGAACGAGGUUUCCGGUGUCCAGGAGCUGUAAGAUCGGAUUUGAUGCAGCCACUCUUGACGAAUUCGUCGACCAAAGUAUGCUUUCAUCUCUGCUUGUGACUAAUGCACCAUAUCUUCCUAUUCGUAACACCACUCCUUGUGAAUCUACGAUGGGAUAGCUCCAGUUUGCAACCCAAACAACGACGUCCGGUUUCCUCUUGUACCAAAUCCCCACGAACCUGUUCUUGGACGAGCCGGGGGAGAAGAAGCCGAGCUCGAAAUCGUGGUUCUGUGAGAUAAGGUCCCGUUGGCUGGAAGUGCAUCUUGUCCAGCAGAGAAGCAAACUAGUCCACAAAAGGCAAUGGCUAAGAGGAAGUUAGACAUAGUGGCACCUUUGAUUUCCUGAUGCGAGUCCUAACAUAUAACGGCAAAAAUCUGGGAUUAGGUAGAAAAACACUAAAGAUGGAACUUUCGAAAUGUCUUCGUCCGAAAAAAAGUAAUGGUGCGUAAAGAGUGAACACAUCAGAGUUUUGUAACACCACGGAUGCAUCGUGUCCCUACGAAAAUAAAUAUCAAUUAUAAAAUUUGGGAAUCCAAAGAAAUGGACGUUAUCUGGCAAUGGCAUCGACUCUAAGAAAAGUCAAAAUAAGUUUAUAGAUCAUUAUUUUUUAACAUUAGGAUACAUUUUUAUUCCUUCUAUUCCACAAAAUUACUUCUUUAUUAUUUUCGGAUAUGUAGCCUGCUUUCUUUUUAGCUGAGAUUACCUCGUGAGAUAAGUUGUGGAGGAAAAUAGCACAAUCAUGUACUAGUACUACAUUUUUAUGAAGGCCAUGAGACUUU